CCGUUCCUACGGGGAGGUGGGAGCUGAGCGCGUGCGAAUAGGUACCCGAAAGAUGGUGAAACUAUGCUGGGCAGGGCGAAGCGAGAAGGAAAACUCUGGUGGAGGCCCGCAGCGGUCCUGACGUGCAAAUCGGUCGUCGCCUGCGGCAUAGGGGCGCCAUAGACUAAUCGAACAUCUAGUAGCUUGUUCCCAUCCGAAGUUUACCCUCAGGAUAGCUGGCGCUCAUUACUUCGCCAGUUGUUAUCUGGUAAAGCGAAUGACUAGAGGCCUUGGGCCGAAUACGAUCUCAACCUAUUCUCAAACUUUAAAUGGGUAGAGGCCCUGCUCGCUGGCUUGGAGCAGGGCGGUGGAAUGCGAGUGCCCCGUGGGCCACUUUUGGUAACAGAACUGGCGCUGCGGGGAUGACCGAACGCCGGGUUAGGCGCCCGAUGCGACGCUCAUCAGAACCCCAGAAAAGGUGUUGGGUUUGAUAGUAAGACAGCAGGAAAGGUGGCCCAUGGAAGUCGGAAUCCGCUAAGGAGUGUGAACAACUCACCUGCCGAACAACUAGCUGAACAUGGAUGGCGCGGAGCGUCGGCCCAUAACGGCCGUCGCGUGGCGAUCGGAGCCUCGUGGCUACGCCGCGAUGAGUAGGAGGGCCGCCGGCGGUGCGCAACGUGAAGCCUUAGGGCGGCGGGGCCACGGGUGGAGCCGCCGGCGGGUUGCAGAUCUUGGUGUUAGUAGCAAAUAUCCAAACGAAGAACUUUGAAGGCCGAAGUGGAGAAAGGGUUCAAUGGUGAACAGCAGUUGAACAAUGGGUCAGUCGGUCCUAAGCAGAUUGGCGAACGCCGUUCAAAAAGUUGCGGGGGCGAUGGCCUCCGUCGCCCCCGUCGAUCGAAAGGGAGUCGGUUCAGAUGCCCCGAAUCUGGAGAAGGCGGAGAUAGGCGCCGCGAGGCGUCCAGUGCGGUAACGCAAACGACCCGCCCGAGAAGCUGGGCGGGAGCCGCGGGAAAGAGUCUGCUUUUUCUUUGGUGAAGGGCAGGGGCACCCUGGAAGGGGUCGCCCCGAGAUAAGGGGCCCGUGCCCUGGAAAGCGUCGCGGUUCCGGCGGCGCCGUCGAGCUCUCGCUGGCCCUUGAAAAUUCCGCGGUGAGAAGGUGGUCAAAUCUCUGCGCCAGGCCGUACCAUGAUCCGCAGCAGGUCUCCAAGGUGAAACAGCCCUGGCAAUGAUGGACAGGGGGGUAACGGGAAACGUCGGCAAAUCUAGAUCCGUAACUUCGCGUGAUAAGGAUUGGCUCUAAGGGCUGGGUCGGGUCGUGGCCUGGGGUGGCGAGCGGGUGCUGGGCUGGCCGCGGCUGGGGAAGCAGCCACCGCCGCCUCCUGUCGUCCUCCCCCCCUCUGAAGAGUCUCGCGGCGGGGGUGGGCUUCGAGGGUCUUUUGCGUGCGUCGGCUUUCGGGUCGUCCGCGGCCGCGGGCGCGAGGGGUACUGCUCUCGUCCGGUGGCGUGGAAGGUGGGGUGUGGGGGCUUCAGGCUGGCGGCGGUCGGUGGCGACUCUGGACGUGCGUCGGGCCCUUCUCGCGGAGUUCCAUCAGCUCACGGUGACUGUAGCGGCUCCACCCGGGGUCGUCUGGGCGGCUCGCCUCGGCUGGCACCUAGCAGCUGACUUAGACUGGUGCGGACCAAAGGGGAAUCCGAAGGCCUGUUUAAUAAAACAGAGCAUCGCGAGGGCCCCAGCGGGUGUUGACCGCAAAUGUGAUUUCUGCCAGUGCUCUGAAUGUCAGAAGUGAUGAAUUCAAUGAAGCGCGGGUACACGGCGGGAGUAACUAUGACUCUCUUAAGGUAGGCCAAAUGCCUCGUCGCAUCUAUUGUGACGCGCUGAAUGGUGAACGAAUUCCCACUGUCCUACCUACUAUCCAGGAAACCACAGCCAAGGGAACGGGCUUUGGCAGAAUCAGGGGGAAAGAGACCCUGUUGAGCCUUGACUCUAUGUCUGUACUGUGAAGAGACAUGAGAGGUGUAGAAUGAAGUGGGAGGUCCCGGCCCGACGGUUGAAAAAUAACCGACUACCUUAUCGUUUUUUCCCCACUUACUCCGGUGAGGCGGGGAGGCGAGCCCCGAGCGGUGUUCUGCGUUUCCGGUGUCAAACCCCGGCCUGGCCGGGGCAACCCGUACCCGGGGACAGUGACAGGUGGGGAGUGUUGACAUGGGGUACACCUGUCAACGGGUACGGCAGGGUGUCCUAAAGCGAGCUCAGGGAGGAAGCAGAAACUCCCGGGAGCAGAAGGGCAAAAAGCUGCGCUUGAUCUUGAUUUUCAGUAUGAGUACAGACCGUGAAAGCGCGCCUCCACGAUCCUUCUGACGUUUUGGGUUUAAGCAGGAGGUGUCAGAAAAGUUACCACAGGGAUACUGGCUUGUGGCGGCCUCAAGCGUCAUAGCGACGUCGCUUUUUUGAUCCUUCGAUGUCGGCUCUUCAUCAUUGUGAAGCAGAUUCACGCAAGCGUGGAAUUGUUUCACGCACUAAAUAGGGAAGUAGCUGGGUUUAGACACCGUCGUGAGACAGGUUAGUUGGUAACCCUAUACUGAUGAUGAUGUGUUGCAAUAGUAAUCCUGCUCAGUGACCGAGAGGAACCGCAGGUCAGUACAUUGGUGUAUGUGCUUGGCUGAGGAGCCAAUGGGGGCGAAGCUACCCAUCGGUGGGCCUUAUGAUGAAACGCCCUCUAAGUCAGAAUCCCCCUAGCAUGUGAAGAUACCAUAGUGGCCCGGGGCCCUAUAAGAUUGAUCCGGGAUAACCGGACCCCACCGGGGGCCGGCGCAGAAGACAUUUGAUACUGGCUUGGGUGCGGCGAAUGAUGGUCGCCCCUCUCCAUGAUCACACCACAUGUUUACCAAGGUACUGGGGUGUGUAAC
rnacentral:rRNA from 1 species